rnacentral:lncRNA from 1 species
CUUAGAACAAGACAACCAUCCUCUCAAAAACCCACCAGCUUUCUUUAUUUUAUCCUUUACAUGACCUGUCUGUCAUGUUCUUGUCGUCAUAGAUCCAUUUUCUUCUUCUUGUUUUAUGUACCUGUCUCUUCACUUUCUCUCCCACCUUUUGAUGUGUGAAAUUGAGUGCCUGCAGCUUUUUCUUAUGUAGGGUUUUCAUUGCACCUUUCUUUUGUAGGGUUAUGAUUGCUCAAUCACAAUUCACAACACGCACACACAGAUUGAGAGAAGAAAGAGGGGCGUUUGGAGUGAAGGCUGUUCCAAGAUCAUUACCUAGUUCCAUUAAUUUGCAUGUUGAUAUAAUGGUGAAUUAAUCGUCUCGGACCAGGCUUCAUUCCUCACGCGCCACUUUCCAUUAAUGGAUGAACAAGAAACUAAAUUGAUCCUUUGAUCAAAUUGUUCUUCGUCGCGUCUUCAGAUCAAUGAAAACCCACAGGUAAACUUGGAUCUUCAUUCUUCAGGUUAUACAUUUAUUAUUUAAUGAAAAUGACAACUAGGUCAACCAACCAAGCAGCUGGUAAUUAACUUUCUUCCAUGAAUCUUAAUCUAAUUACUUUGAUCAUCUGUAUAAAUUGUUUGAGUAUUGAUAAGAUUAGUGUUCAUCUAUUUUGUUUAGCUGAGACAAAGGAUAUCUCAUCUCAUAGUUUUCUUCAUAAUUUGUCUUGUGAUCUGCUGAACUCUUUUCUUUUCUUUUUAUAUUUUAUCCCAGUCUUUGCAUCAGUAUUUUCUGAUGCUAUUACUUAUUAUUUUGUUGUCAAAUUUUCAAAAGAACUUGAAUGACUUUCCUUCUGAGUUCUUAUUAAAAAAAAUGGACAAAGUAAGAUGAAAACGAUUCCAAUUUCGCGUCACUAUAAUCAACGGUAUUUAUAAAUUCAAAGUGCUCACUUUGACCGUUAAGAGUAGGUACAUGUUGACUGUCUUCGUUUGUUAUAAUUUAUUUUUCAUUCUUCAAUCAGUAUAAACUGAGUUUAGCCCUUUUUUUCCUCAGCAUAUCUCUAAAUGAUGUCGAUGAAAACAAAUCAAAACGACUUAAAAACUGGUUCCUAGCACAGCCAAGUAGCUUUUAGGUUUCAAUUAUUUUUUAUCAAUUUACCUGAAACCUAAAUAAAUCAGAUCAAAUAUUUUUUCUUUUCUGUAGUUUAUCUGUAGCCCAGAACGUGCAAUUUAUUCUAUAGGAUUAUUCCCUGUUCUCUCUUUAAUUUGAAGUUGAACAUUCAAAAAAAACAAAAAAAACAAGAAAAUGUAACCCAAAUGAUCGAUAUCUCUGUCUUGGUCUCAUAACUUCUAUGAUAUUAGUUACUCCUAGAAAUAUCACCAACCUUCAAACCAACAACUUAUUCAACACUUCAUUUACUUUGCGCCCUAAGCAUCUCUUUUAAGCAAGUCUACAUCUAUGACGAAUUCAAAGAAGCUUCAACAACUAGUCGAUGAAAUCUUUGUUAAAGGAGAAAAAAUUCAAAAAUAGUCUGAUCUCUCAUCUUCAAAAGAAUUGAAUUUGGAACCUUUGGCGUCCUCAUGAUAUGUAAGCUUUAAUUAAAAGUUCCAAAGUACAUAUUUUUUUGAGUCAUCUUUAAUUCAAUCCAAUUUAUUUGGGUACAAUGCAGUUACAUUUACUAGGAAGGUUCCAUAUUUCCGUGUUCUAGGAGAGUUACUUAAGAUCUUUUUGCUUGUGUUAAUAGUAAAAUCGUUCUAAUGCAUACAACGGACAGUAUAAGACUGUUCUUUGUUGAUGGGGCACGAGAACCUUAUUUACAGUUCUCUCCAAAUGUGAGAACUCUAAAUAAGGUUCUUGCCAAAAUGGGAAAGAUAAGACUUCAUACUGUGGAUAGGAGAACAAGAGUGGUGUUAGUAGUACUCAUGUAUACUAAGUAAAUGUAUUAUUUUAAUUUAUGAAUACAAGGAUACAUGUAUAUAUAUACAAAUUAAUUAGAGUGCACCUAUUGCUAGGAUAAUUAGUCUUUGAUGGCUAUGUUUACACAUUUAUUUGAGUUUGAGUAUAUUCCAAUUGAGAAGUUCGAGAUUAUGAGUCUAUUGAAGUUUUUCUACAUAGAUUCAAAUCUACUUCUACCACUUAUUUUUUUUUUUUUUUGCAGACCUCAAAGAAGAGAAAAAAAAGGCAUGCAUCAGCAUAGAAAGGUCAACCAAGCAAAGCACUUUCACCAUUUUUUUAUUUUAUUUUAUUUUAUUAUUAUUAUUAUUUUUUUUUUUUGGUGCCGUGAAGUGAAAUUGUAUUUUGUGUUAGAUAUGUUGGAGAACCAUUAUGCUCUACAUAUAUCCAUCUAUAUCAAAUCCCAAAGUUUCUAUUUAUAAAACUAUGUAUCUCUUCAGUGGAUUCUAAUGAGUAGUGAUUUACUUAAUGGUGUAUCACGUGUUAGAUUCCUGUUAUAGAUGGUCUAGACACUAAUAUUGAGGUUUAUAUUUAUUCUAAU